rnacentral:rRNA from 1 species
UACGGAGGGAGGCUAGCGUUGCUCGGAAUCACUGGGCGUAAAGGGUGCGUAGGCGGGUCUUUUAAGUCGGAGGUGAAAUCCCACGGCUACAACCGGUGGACACGGCCUUCGAAACUGUGAGCUUGAGGCUGGGAGAGGAGAUCGGAAUUCCUGGUGGUGAGCGGUGAAAUGCGCAGAUAUCAGGAGGAACACCGGUGGCGAAGGCGGGUCGCUAGGCCGACACUGACGCUGAGGAGCGAAAGCGUGGGGAGCGAAACAGG